UGAAGGUCUUUACCUGUGUGAGGUUUUCUU
rnacentral:piRNA from 1 species